GACGAACGCUGGCGGCGUACUUAACACAUGCAAGUCGAGCGGUAAGGCCCUUUCGGGGGUACACGAGCGGCGAACGGGUGAGUAACACGUGGGUGACCUGCCUCUAGCUCUGGGAUAAGCCUGGGAAGCUGGGUCUAAUACCGGAUAUGACCUCGCGGUGCAUGUUGCGGGGUGGAAAGCCUUGUGCGGCUAGGGAUGGGCCCGCGGCCUAUCAGCUUGUUGGUGGGGUGAUGGCCUACCAAGGCGACGACGGGUAGCCGGCCUGAGAGGGCGACCGGCCACACUGGGACUGAGACACGGCCCAGACUCCUACGGGAGGCAGCAGUGGGGAAUCUUGCGCAAUGGGCGAAAGCCUGACGCAGCGACGCCGCGUGA
rnacentral:rRNA from 1 species